rnacentral:rRNA from 1 species
UACGGAGGGGGCUAGCGUUGUUCGGAAUUACUGGGCGUAAAGCGCGCGUAGGCGGACCUGCAAGUCGGGGGUGAAAGCCCGAGGCUCAACCUCGGAACUGCCUUCGAUACUGCGGGUCUCAAGUCCGGGAGAGGUGAGUGGAAUUCCUAGUGUAGAGGUGAAAUUCGUAGAUAUUAGGAAGAACACCAGUGGCGAAGGCGGCUCACUGGCCCGGUACUGACGCUGAGGCGCGAAAGCGUGGGGAGCAAACAGG